GAUUCCCGUAGUAGCGGUGAGCGAAAUGGGAGCAAUUUAAUAAACCUUAAAACGGAAUUGUGGAGAGCAAUACAAGUGUCGUGCUGCUAGGCGAAGCAGCCCGAAUGUUGCACCCCAGAUGGUAAAAGUCCAGUAGCCGAAAGCAUCACUAGCUUAUGCUUUGAUCCGAGUAGCAUGAGGCAGGUCAAGGAAGUUGGUGACCUGAUGAUAGGGGAGCCAACAACCAAAGUCCUA
rfam:Nicotiana attenuata strain TT chromosome 6, whole genome shotgun sequence.